UUCCCGUGAUCCUGCCGGAACCCGACUGCUAUUUGGGUGAGGAUAAGCCAUGCGAGUUGAAUGGGAUACCUAAAAAUCCCAUGGCAAACUGCUCAGUAACACAUGAUCAACUUACCCUAUAGAGGAAAAUAACCUCGGGAAACUGAGGAUAAUGUUCCAUAGUUGAAUCGGCUUGGAAAAGUUUUUCAAUAAAAGGGAUAAGAAAAAUGGUUCUUAUCUGCUAUAGGAUAGGAUCGUGCUCGAUUAUGGUUGUUGGUGAGGUAAAGGCUCACCAAGCCGAUAAUCGAUAGGGGCCGUGAGAGCGGGAGCCCCGAGAUGGGUACUGAGACAACGACCCAGGCCUUACGAGGCGCAGCAGGCGCGAAACCUCCGCAAUACACGAAAGUGUGACGGGGUUACCCAAAGUGUUCUAUUUAGAACUGUGGUAGGUGAGUAAUGUUCCCUACUAGAAAGGAGAGGGCAAGGCUGGUGCCAGCCGCCGCGGUAAAACCAGCUCUUCAAGUGGUCGGGAUAAUUAUUGGGCUUAAAGUGUCCGUAGCCGGUUUAGUAAGUUCCUGGUAAAAUCGGGUAGCUUAACUAUCUAUAUGCUAGGAAUACUGCUAUACUAGAGGGCGGGAGAGGUCUGAGGUACUACAGGGGUAGGGGUGAAAUCUUAUAAUCCUUGUAGGACCACCAGUGGCGAAGGCGUCAGACUGGAACGCGCCUGACGGUGAGGGACGAAAGCCAGGGGAGCGAACCGGAUUAGAUACCCGGGUAGUCCUGGCCGUAAACGAUGCAUACUAGGUGAUGGCACGGCCAUGAGCCGUGUCAGUGCCGUAGGGAAACCGUUAAGUGUGCCGCCUGGGAAGUACGGUCGCAAGGCUAAAACUUAAAGGAAUUGGCGGGGGAGCACCACAAGGGGUGAAGCCUGCGGUUCAAUUGGAAUCAACGCCGGU
rnacentral:rRNA from 1 species